AUUGAACGCUGGCGGCAGGCUUAACACAUGCAAGUCGAGCGGAGAGAGGCAGCUUGCUACUGAUCUUAGCGGCGGACGGGUGAGUAAUGCUUAGGAAUCUGCCUAUUAGUGGGGGACAACAUUUCGAAAGGAAUGCUAAUACCGCAUACGUCCUACGGGAGAAAGCAGGGGAUCUUCGGACCUUGCGCUAAUAGAUGAGCCUAAGUCGGAUUAGCUAGUUGGUGGGGUAAAGGCCUACCAAGGCGACGAUCUGUAGCGGGUCUGAGAGGAUGAUCCGCCACACUGGGACUGAGACACGGCCCAGACUCCUACGGGAGGCAGCAGUGGGGAAUAUUGGACAAUGGGCGGAAGCCUGAUCUAGCCAUGCCGCGUGUGUGAAGAAGGCCUUAUGGUUGUAAAGCACUUUAAGCGAGGAGGAGGCUACUUUAGUUAAUACCUAGAGAUAGUGGACGUUACUCGCAGAAUAAGCACCGGCUAACUCUGUGCCAGCAGCCGCGGUAAUAC
rnacentral:rRNA from 1 species